CUGACUAUCGGAUCGUUUUAGAAACAUCAGUGGCCAACAAUCGUCAGGAUUGUUGAGCUGCAUUGGCGGGAUUUCGCCGUCUUCGUUUCUCUUUCUUCGCGGACGAACACGCGCCGGGGCUUAGCGCUGUGCGAUGCAUCGGCGCGAGUCGAUUGCGUGCGCGCAUGUCCCUGAUCCUCAUCGGAGGAAGCGUUAGGGGCUUGUAGCUCAGUUGGUUAGAGCGCGCGCUUGAUAAGCGUGAGGUCGGAAGUUCAAGUCUUCCCAGGCCCACCAGCCUUCGCUGGCUUCGCCAGCUACGGCUAGGCAAGCCGGGUGAAGGCGAAGGCUGCCACGUCGUAGCUCGAAGAGCGAAGACGGGCGCUGAGAGCAGGGCAUUCGUCUUCUGGUACGGGGCCAUAGCUCAGCUGGGAGAGCGCGUGCUUUGCAAGCAUGAGGUCGUCGGUUCGAUCCCGUCUGGCUCCACCAGCCUUCGCUGGCUAGCGCCAGCUAAGGCUAGGCGAGCCGGAUCGUAGCGAAGGCUGCCACGGCGUAGCUCGAAAGAGCGAAGACGGGCCGGCUACUGACCCAAGUAUAAUCGUCCGCGAAACAUCAUUUCGCACACGCUUGUCCGGAUGGACUGCGGCGUGCGUGAUAUCUGACAUCGUAAAGAGGAGAUCGAUCCGAGUUUGGGAUCUGCAAAGCAAUUUGCGGACUCUCACUCAUAAUCUCCAGGUCAUUUCGGCGCUCGCUCAUCGCAAGAUGAUCGGGUUGUAAAUGACCUUUUUAGCGAAGCUUGACCGCCUCGCUAUCGGAUUGAUCUUACGAAGCAAGCUGGUCUUUCUAAUCAGUGUCCGGCUGCGCAUAGCAUUCAUCGAGGGUGCGUGCCUUCACAGGCAAUUGCGCAGACAACAUUCUGCCGAGUGUGUGGACAUUGAUAAUGAGAGCAAUCAAGUGCCUUAAGGGUGUUCGGUGGAUGCCUUGGCGCUGAGAGGCGAUGAAGGACGUGCUACGCUGCGAUAAGCCG
rnacentral:misc_RNA from 1 species